rnacentral:lncRNA from 1 species
UGCAGCUUCACUCCUGAGCCAGCUAGACCACGAGCCCACCAGAAGGAAGAAACUCCGAACACAUCCGAACAUCAGAAGGAACAAACUCCAGACGCGCCACCUUAAGAGCUGUAACACUCACCGCGAGGGUCGACGGCUUCAUUCUUGAAGUCAGUGAGACCAAGAACCCACCAAUUCCGGACACACAAUGGUGAUGCUAAGUCCACAAUACUAUGACCCAGGGCCACUGAGGCCAGGCCAACGCCCAGUGAGCAGCGGGACAGUCCACACACAUCAAGCUCCUCUCGUGAGUCUAAGCUGAAGCCUUCGGCCACAGUGUAUGACUCUACCUACUUGCUUACUAAAAUGUGCCACCAGAGGCCUUCCCCCACGAUAAGAAGUAAAUUCACAGCCUUGGGGGUGAUAUAACCGUGUUCUUUUCCCUUCCUUUCUGGUUCUAGUUUCAGGUGGCAGUGAUAAAAGGAGUGUUCUCCUCCUCUUAAACUCUAGAUUGGAAAAAUAAAUGAAUGUGAAUAGACAUCCCCCACUCUUCAUUCUGUAUCAAAGCCCUGGGGAAUCCAUUUUUACCACACUGAGUCUCACUGAAGUCAACCGCGUAAGCUCCUGCAUUCAUUUCCAUGAGACUUGGCAUUGUGGAAAUAAUUGGAUGGCACUGCCCUCUAACACUCCUUUCAGGAAACAGAGAAAAUGUGCCUUUGCUAGUAGGUGGAGUGAAAACUCGUCUGAGUGCUGGCGUGGGAGUUCUAUGGCCAUUGCCUUUUACAAGAUG